UCAUUAGUGAAUCGGCCCUCUGUGGCCUUCAUACCAUCCUCACACCUCUGUGAACCGUUGGGCCUCGGCCCACUACACACAAACUAUUGUCGUCACGAACGUCCAUUGUAUAACAGAAAACAUAACUUUCAACAACGGAUCUCUUGGCUCUCGCAUCGAUGAAGAACGCAGCGAAAUGCGAUAAGUAAUGUGAAUUGCAGAAUUCAGUGAAUCAUCGAAUCUUUGAACGCAACUUGCGCCUCUUGGUAUUCCGAGAGGCAUGCCUGUUUGAGUGUCAUGAAUACCUCAACCCCCCUGGGUUUUUUUGGACCCUAGGGACGGUUGGAGAUGGGCGUCCUGCCGGUGUCGAGCCGGCUCGCCUCAAAGGUCUCAGUGGGAUCCUCGACCCCAUGCCUGACGUGAUAAGUUUCGUCUGGGCCAGGUCGUGCGACGUCUGCUCACAACCAACCAUAUUCUGUUACUCUGACCUCAAAUCAGGUAGGGCUACCCGCUGAACUUAAGCAUAUCAAUAAGCGGAGGAAAAGAAACUAACAAGGAUUCCCCUAGUAACGGCGAGUGAACAGGGAAGAGCUCAAAUUUGUAAUCUGGCGUCCUUUGGGCGUCCGAGUUGUAAUCUAUAGAAGUGUUUUCCGUGCUGGACCGUGUCCAAGUCCCUUGGAACAGGGUAUCAAAGAGGGUGACANUCCCGUACUUGACAUGACGACCAGUGCUCUGUGAUACGCUCUCUACGAGUCGAGUUGUUUGGGAAUGCAGCUCAAAACGGGUGGUGAGUUCCAUCUAAAGCUAAAUAUUGGCGAGAGACCGAUAGCGAACAAGUACCGUGAGGGAAAGAUGAAAAGCACUUUGGAAAGAGAGUUAAACAGUACGUGAAAUUGUUGAAAGGGAAACGAUUGAAGUCAGUCGUGUCCGAGGGGUUCAGCCGGUCCUGCCGGUGUACUCCCCUCGGACGGGUCAACAUCAGUUUGGGCCGGCGGAAAAGGGCGGUCGGAAUGUGGCAGCCUCGGCUGUGUUAUAGCCUUCCGUCGCAUACGCUGGUCCAGACUGAGGAAUGCAGCUCGCCCUCGUGGCUGGGGUUCUCCCACAUUCGAGCUUAGGAUGUUGACAUAANGGCUUUAAACGACC
rnacentral:rRNA from 1 species